rnacentral:rRNA from 1 species
UACGUAGGGGGCUAGCGUUGUCCGGAAUCAUUGGGCGUAAAGCGCGUGUAGGCGGUUCGGUAAGUCCGCUGUGAAAGUCGGGGGCUCAACCCUCGAAUGCCGGUGGAUACUGUCGAACUAGAGUGCGGAAGAGGCGAGUGGAAUUCCUGGUGUAGCGGUGAAAUGCGCAGAUAUCAGGAGGAACACCAAUUGCGAAGGCAGCUGCGCUGGGACGUAACUGACGCUGAGAACGCGAAAGCGUGGGGAGCAAACAGG